rnacentral:rRNA from 1 species
UACGUAGGGGGGCAAGCGUUGUCCGGAAUCAUUGGGCGUAAAGCGCGUGUAGGCGGCUCGGUAAGUCUGCUGUGAAAGUCCAGGGCUCAACCCUGGGAUGCCGGUGGAUACUGUCGGGCUCGAGUCCGGAAGAGGAGUGUGGAAUUCCUGGUGUAGCGGUGAAAUGCGCAGAUAUCAGGAGGAACACCAAUGGCGAAGGCAGCACUCUGGGACGUGACUGACGCUGAGACGCGAAAGCGUGGGGAGCAAACAGG